UGCGUAGGCGGCGCGGUAAGUCGGGUGUGAAAUCUCGGAGCUUAACUCCGAAACUGCAUUCGAUACUGCCGUGCUUGAGGACUGGAGAGGAGACUGGAAUUUACGGUGUAGCGGUGAAAUGCGUAGAUAUCGUAAGGGAGACCAGUGGCGAAGGCGGGUCUCUGGACAGUUCCUGACGCUGAGGCACGAAGGCCAGGGAGCAAACG
rnacentral:rRNA from 1 species